rnacentral:lncRNA from 1 species
CUGGGCUCAAGCGAUUCUCCCGCCUCAGCCUCCCAAGCAACUGGGACUACAGGCAUGUGCCACCACACCAAGCUAAUUUUUGUAUUUUUAGUAGUGAUGGCGUUUCACUAUGUUGGCCAGGCUGGUCUCGAACUACUGACCUCGUAAUCUGCCUAUCUUGGCCUCCCAAAGUUCUGGGAUUACAGGCAUGAGCCACUGUACCCGCCCUAAAGGCCUUCUUUGAAAGAGAAAAAGAAGAGGUGGCAUUCUGUGAAGGAACAUCAAGGACCAGACAUCCAGCUUCCCCUGCAGCCCAGGUCCCCCUAGCGGUGCUUCUCUUCAGAUUGAGGACCUAUUCUUUGGAGUUCCGAAUUCCUAGUAGUCCAGCCCUCAGAUCUCCACCUUGAGACUCCACCCUCAAGAUUCUCAUUUUCUGCCUUUCCCUUCUAAGGCUUAAUCCCAUCGGGACUAAGGGAGGAGCCUUCCCUUCCAGCCUCACACAGGCAGACUAUCUCAAAAGAAAGAGAAAGCAAUUUUCCCUUGCAUGCUGGCUGUUUCACUUCCUUCUACUUUUAGGAAAUGAGAAACUCUCUGUGCCUAAGAAACCUCUUCACCAAAGAUCUUCACAUCCCAAACCUUGGUCCAUGUCCUCAAGGAUAUCAUGGAGUCCAAGAUGGGUCAAGUGAGACUGAAACGGAUUUUAGAGACCAGUGUUCUCCCACAGGCAUGGAGCUGAUGAGGAGACACAGUGUCCCUAAAGGCAGGCACUUCACUGUCCUCAGGGUGGGGAGGACCAGCGGUCUCGGUUUUCCUCACUUGCCCCCAGGGCUGCUCCUCCCAGCUCUGCUCCAGCCCCUGACACUCCUACCUUCUGUUUAGUUCUCCCAGACCUGAAACAGGAGGCUAUCGCUAGUGCUGAAUGAUUAAAUAAGUGCAUCUGCUCUAUGUGACAGCCAGACUGUGGGUGUGUGCUUGUAUAUUGCUGUGAAGAGAGGUUUCCUAUAUCAUGAGGACACUCUUUCGCUGU